rnacentral:rRNA from 1 species
UACGGAGGGUGCAAGCGUUAUCCGGAUUCACUGGGUUUAAAGGGUGCGUAGGUGGGCAGGUAAGUCAGUGGUGAAAUCUCCGGGCUUAACUCGGAAACUGCCAUUGAUACUGCAGGGCUUGAGUACAGAUGAUGUUGGCGGAAUAUGACAUGUAGCGGUGAAAUGCAUAGAUAUGUCAUAGAACACCGAUUGCGAAGGCAGCUGACAAAACUGUAACUGACGCUGAGGCACGAAAGUGUGGGGAUCAAACAGG